rnacentral:rRNA from 1 species
UUUAUGGAGAGUUUGAUCCUGGCUCAGGAUGAACGCUGGCGGCGUGCCUAAUACAUGCAAGUCGAGCGAACAGAUAAGGAGCUUGCUCCUUUGACGUUAGCGGCGGACGGGUGAGUAACACGUGGAUAACCUACCUAUAAGACUGGGAUAACUUCGGGAAACCGGAGCUAAUACCGGAUAACAUAUUGAACCGCAUGGUUCAAUAGUGAAAGGCGGCUUUGCUGUCACUUAUAGAUGGAUCCGCGCCGUAUUAGCUAGUUGGUAAGGUAACGGCUUACCAAGGCAACGAUACGUAGCCGACCUGAGAGGGUGAUCGGCCACACUGGAACUGAGACACGGUCCAGACUCCUACGGGAGGCAGCAGUAGGGAAUCUUCCGCAAUGGGCGAAAGCCUGACGGAGCAACGCCGCGUGAGUGAUGAAGGUCUUCGGAUCGUAAAACUCUGUUAUCAGGGAAGAACAAAUGUGUAAGUAACUGUGCACAUCUUGACGGUACCUGAUCAGAAAGCCACGGCUAACUACGUGCCAGCAGCCGCGGUAAUACGUAGGUGGCAAGCGUUAUCCGGAAUUAUUGGGCGUAAAGCGCGCGUAGGCGGUUUUUUAAGUCUGAUGUGAAAGCCCACGGCUCAACCGUGGAGGGUCAUUGGAAACUGGAAAACUUGAGUGCAGAAGAGGAAAGUGGAAUUCCAUGUGUAGCGGUGAAAUGCGCAGAGAUAUGGAGGAACACCAGUGGCGAAGGCGACUUUCUGGUCUGUAACUGACGCUGAUGUGCGAAAGCGUGGGGAUCAAACAGGAUUAGAUACCCUGGUAGUCCACGCCGUAAACGAUGAGUGCUAAGUGUUAGGGGGUUUCCGCCCCUUAGUGCUGCAGCUAACGCAUUAAGCACUCCGCCUGGGGAGUACGACCGCAAGGUUGAAACUCAAAGGA